AUUCCUUAAUCCUGUUUCCCCAGUCACAGUCCCAGGAUCUUUCAUGACUAUCUUGACUUCAUUCAAACCUAGAACAAAUCAGUGUUACACCCCUCAGUGACAUGGCUGUUUUUCUCCCAGAAUUGGGGCCUCAGUCCUAUACUCAGUCUCUCCUCUGUCCCCAUCUGGGGGCGAGUUUGUCCAUAACCAGGACCAGGAGGCAGCUCAGUGUGUGGCCGAGGCCCAUGACCCUGACAGUGUCGCCGAGGUGCUUGUGGGACAAGCCCGGAGGGCCUUGGAGGAGAAGGACUUUCAGAAAGCAGAAGGGCUGCUGCUCCGGGCCCAGAGACCAGGCCUGACUCUCAAUUAUUAUAAGGAGGCUGGAUUAUGGAGUGACGCGCUGCGGAUCUGCAAGGACUAUGUGCCCGGCCAGCUGGAGGCUCUGCAGGAGGAGUAUGAGCGGGAAGCUACUAAGAAGGGGGCCAGGGGUGUGGAGGGACUCGUGGAACAAGCUCGACACUGGGAGCAGGCUGGAGAGUACAGUCGUGCCGUGGACUGCUACCUCCGAGUGCGAGACUCUGGAAACAGCGGCCUGAUGGAGAAGUGCUGGAUGAAGUGUUUCAGAACUCCCGGGGGACUGGAUCCAGGAAUAUAUACUCUGGUCAAUGAAGCGGAGUCUUCAACAGAUCUUCUGAUACCUGGAAAG